rnacentral:misc_RNA from 1 species
AGCAGCCGCGGUAAUUCCAGCUCCAAUAGCGUAUAUUAAAGUUGUUGCAGUUAAAAAGCUCGUAGUUGAAUUUCGGAAUCAGUUCGUCGGUCGUGCCUUUGGUAUGUACUGGUGUUACUGGUUCCUCCCUUCUGACGAACCGUCAUGUCAUUAAUUUGGUGUGGCGGGAAAUCAGGACUGUUACUUUGAAAAAAUUAGAAUGUUUAAAGCAGGCUCGCGCUUGAAUACAUUAGCAUGGAAUAAUGAAAUAGGACGUUCGAUCCUAUUUUGUUGGUUUCUAGGAUUGACAUAAUGAUUAAUAGGGAUAGUUGGGGGCAUUAGUAUUCAAUUGUCAGAGGUGAGAUUCUUGGAUUUAUUGAAGACUAACUGCUGCGAAAGCAUUUGCCAAGGAUGUUUUCAUUAAUCAAGAACGAAAGUUAGGGGAUCGAAGACGAUCAGAUACCGUCGUAGUCUUAACCAUAAACUAUGCCGACUAGGGAUCGGAUGAUGUUAAUUUUUAAUGA